rnacentral:tRNA from 1 species
GCGAUACUAGUGUUCAACGGUUUAGCAUACGAGGCUUCCACCCUCUAGGUACGGGUUCGAAUCCCGUGUAUCGCUCCA